rnacentral:rRNA from 1 species
UACGUAGGUGGCAAGCGUUGUCCGGAUUUAUUGGGCGUAAAGCGAGCGCAGGCGGUUCUUUAAGUCUGAUGUGAAAGCCCACGGCUCAACCGUGGAAGGUCAUUGGAAACUGGGGAACUUGAAUGCAGAAGAGGAGAGUGGAAUUCCAUGUGUAGCGGUGAAAUGCGUAGAUAUUAGGAGGAACACCAGUUGCGAAGGCGGCUCUCUGGACUGUAACUGACACUGAGGCACGAAAGCGUGGGGAGCAAACAGGAUUAGAUA